AGAGACCCUGGCUUCCAAAAGGACACCAACAGGUGGGAGGCCACAGGGGCAGAGGGGGGAGUAUAAGGAAGGCUAAACGCUUGAAAAGCCGGGUGCACGUGGCAAUGCCUGGGCAGAAUCCACCAGUCAUGCAAAGAGGACGAUACACUGUAGCACACAGGAGAAGAAGAAAGAUGGAAAGAUAAAGUCAGCACCCAAUUUGAAAUCAUAACCAAAUGUGAGAGCAUGAAGGAACAUAAAAGAACAGCAACAAGGUAAGCACCAACAAUGAUUUGAUGAAAUGUGAACAUAAGCUUCUGUGCCUGUCCAUUGUCUCUCUGAAGCAACACACCUUGCUGUGGCUGGUCAAAUGGAACCAAGUCAGGUGUUUCUGCGAGGUUUGGUCCCCUUCAACCAGCUACUGCGUCGUGAAUACAGCCAACAUACAUGACUCAAAAGAUUAUAAGAGUGUUAAUCCAUGCUUUUUGUAGAUAAAAGUGUUGUCUAAAAUGCUUUUCUUGGUUUGAAUAAACUAAAAAUAAUAAAAUUUACAACAUGUUGUUUUCAGUUUUCUCUAUAGUGUUUCUAAACAGCAUUGUAAAAUUUUAAAUAUCCAGCUGGUUACCGGUAACUUACUGUAGAUUUAAAAUUAUUUUAUUUACUGGCAACACAGUUUGUUCAAAGUUAAACGAACAUUAAACAUUAACAAGUCUUUGUCUUUACAGAAUAAAACUAUAAAAUAACAACCUCGUGCUAAACAUUCUAUGAACCAGAAAUUUUCAUCAACCUUUAUUUCUUUCAGAUUGUGUUUCGAGAAUGCUUAGUACUGUAAUUUUAGUUUUAUUCUGUAAAUAAUAUUUUUUUUAUACAACCAGCUUCCAGUAAUACUGUAAUUUCUACAGACAUUUUUUUUUAACUAAUUUUGUUUCAAAAUCUGUGUUUUUUUAAUUUAAAGAUACACAUCUGCACCAUAUUUGUUGUCUGUUAAUUGCAUCUUUAAG